UAUGCCUAACUAAUAUAAACAGUCCGUGUUGUUUUGCAUUUAGGCAGAGGAUAGACAGUUACCGUGUGUUCAAGAAGAUGGGAAUCAACGGUCCUCCACCAAACCUCAUAUUUGGAAAUUUCAGACAGAUAAUGUCCCAGCCAGUUUGGAUGGCAUACAGAAAGUGGGAACAGCUCUAUGGAAAAACGUUUGGGGUCUUCUUCCUCAAUUCUCCCAGUAUAGUGACCUCAGAUGUCGAUUUUCUGCAAGAAGUCUUUGUCAAACAGUUCAGUAAAUUUCA